rnacentral:rRNA from 1 species
GACAAACGCUGGCGGUAUGCCUAACACAUGCAAGUCGAACGGACAGAACAGGGAAGCUUUUCGGAGUGGAACUGGAAAGUUAGUGGCGGAUGGGUGAGUAACGCGUGGACAACCUACCUUGUAAAGGGGAAUAACCUCGAGAAAUCGAAGCUAAUACCCCAUAAUAACCUUGCUUCGCAUGAAGUAAGGAGGAAAGGCGGCCUUAGCGCUGUCGAUACAAGAUGGGUCCGCGUCUGAUUAGCUAGUUGGUGAGGUGAAGGCUCACCAAGGCGACGAUCAGUAGCCGGCCUGAGAGGGUGAACGGCCACAUUGGGACUGAGACACGGCCCAAACUCCUACGGGAGGCAGCAGUGGGGAAUCUUCCGCAAUGGGCGAAAGCCUGACGGAGCAAUGCCGCGUGAGUGAAGAAGGCCUUCGGGUUGUAAAACUCUGUCCUUAUCGAAGAGAGAGUGUUGUAGUAACUGACAAUACUAGGACGGUAGAUGAGGAGGAAGCCCCGGCUAACUAUGUG